AUUGAACGCUGGCGGCAGGCCUAAUACAUGCAAGUCGAACGAGUGGCGGACGGGUGAGUAAUGUAUGGGAACAUGCUUGAUGGAGGGGGAUAAUUACUGGAAACGGUAGCUAAAACCGCAUACCAUCGGAUGUGCCCUGAUGGGAUUCGCUAUUAGGUGGGGUAAAGGCUCACGUAGGCGACGAUCCCUAGCUGGUCUGAGAGGGUGACCGGCCACACUGGAACUGAGACACGGGCCAGACUCCUACGGGAGGCAGCAGUAGGGAAUCUUGCGCAAUGGGCGAAAGCCUGAUGCAGCAAUGCCGCGUGUGUGAAGAAGGCCUUCGGUUUGUAAAAUACUUUCAGCAGGGAGGCGUUACCCAAAGAGAAAGCACCGGCUAACUCCGUGCCAGCCGCCGCGGUAAUAC
rnacentral:rRNA from 1 species